rnacentral:lncRNA from 1 species
CUGCAAAGAUCCUAUUUCCAAAUAAGGUCACUUUGCAGUAAGUAAAGCAACAGUGAGCCUGCCGGGCAGACGGGGUCCUUGAGGAGACUGAGGAGCUGCAGAGAUAGAUCAAGGCAUAGGCACAUGGGGAGAGAAAACAGGCUGGGAUAACUCGUAAUUUCCCACCCAUAAUCCUAUUUGCCAGGCCCAGCUGGAAGCCCACAUCACCUGGAAAAAGCAGCCUACAGGUGUUGAUCCCUACUGCCAAGGUCAUACCCAAGAUGAACUAUGUCCAGUCUUCUACAGGAAAAUAUCAGAUCACAGAACUGGCAAACUAUGGCCCAAAUUCCACCUGCCUCCUGUUUUUAUGAAUAAAGAUUUAUUGGAAAACAGCCAUGUUCAUU